GAAUAUAUAGGAGUGGGACUGGUAGCUUUGUAAGGAAGAAAGACCUGAGGUCGCACGCUCGCCCCCUCACCACCUGAGGCUCUGCACCGCCUUGAGACUCUGCAGAGUCCCCACCAGCAACAAGGCUCUCACCAGAGGCAGCCCCUGGACCUUGGACAUCUCAGCCUGCGGCCGUAAAACUUCCCUGAGGAAAGGAUUUGGGGAUCCAGUCUGAAAGAGCAGCUCCCAUCUGGGACAUGCCGUUUCAUUGUGGCAGAAGGCAAAGAGAAGUGGCUGGGCCAUGCACUGUUUCUGGGAGCGUCCAUUUGGAUGUGGAGUUUGUCACUUCUACUCACAUUCCAAUGGCCAAAGCAAGUCACACGGACACGCCUGAUAUUAAUGGUGGCAGAGAAGUAUACUCCUCCUACAGAGAGGUCACUGCAAGUCUCAGGGCAACUGGAUUCCUACUGUUUAAUUCACAGGCCUCAGGUACAGAACAUAAGAGGAUAGAGGAAAAGUUUUCCUUUCCCUACCAGCGCCACUGGUUACUACAGCAAAGCUGACUGAUACAGAGACAAGUGGGCCUGAAUUUCCAAUUGCACCUGCCCCAUUUGCUUGAAGAGGGAAGGCCCAAAGGCCAUCUCAGCAGCACAGCCCACGGGCAUCUGCAUUGCAGCAUUGAAACUGCUGAGGUCCACUGUUCGAGGCACUGCUCCUCUGCUGACCAGAGCAGGACGGACACAGGUUCCUUGAGGACUCUCCAUCCGUCUCCACCGCCAGCAUGCAGACAGACUUUUGCUAUGAUAAUUAGUAGAUGUAAACUUUUACUGCCGCUUUAGGCUAGAGAUGAAUUCUUCCCAUUCUUUCCCACUGGGUCUUGGAAGGAUGAAAGGCAACUUAGAGGGAAAAGAGCCUGCUUUCAAUCACACUUUGGAACUAGAAAUGCAUUUCUUAACUCAGACUAAUGCAAGUAAAUUGGGAAAGAACCUGAUGUUCCCAAUCAAGAGUAUUAGUUUUAUUUCUCACUAAGUUCCUUCAGGUCUUUUGUUUAAGCAUUUAGAAUAUGUAAUAUAACAUUUAUUUUCACUAUUAGACAGUGAAUUCUUCUGACAUAUGAUAGAUGCUCAAUAAAUAAACAUAUUUUGGCUGGCUGGCUGGCUGGCUGGAUGAAUGGAUGGAAGGAUGGGUAUGUGGGUGAGUGAAUGACCAUGUGAAUCAAUGGAAAGAGGAUGGAUUGAUGGAUAAAUGGUUAGAAUCCACUUGUUCUGUGUAACUAUCCCUUUAUGAUUUCUGCAUAAGAUCUGUGUUAUGGGCUGAAUGUUUGUGUCCCCACAAAAUUCCUAUGUUGAUCCCCUAACCCCCAAUGUGAUGGUAUUUGGA